UGAGGAAUAUUGGUCAAUGGGCGCAAGCCUGAACCAGCCAUGCCGCGUGCAGGAAGAAUGCCCUAUGGGUUGUAAACUGCUUUUAUUUAGGAAUAAACCUUUCUACGUGUAGAAAGCUGAAGGUACUGAAUGAAUAAGCACCGGCUAACUCCGUGCCAGCAGCCGCGGUAAUACGGAGGGUGCAAGCGUUAUCCGGAAUCAUUGGGUUUAAAGGGUCCGCAGGCGGGCGUAUAAGUCAGUGGUGAAAUCCUGCAGCUUAACUGCAGAACUGCCAUUGAUACUGUACGUCUUGAAUUCGGUCGAAGUGGGCGGAAUGUGUAGUGUAGCGGUGAAAUGCAUAGAUAUUACACAGAACACCGAUAGCGAAGGCAGCUCACUAGGCCUGGAUUGACGCUCAGGGACGAAAGCGUGGGGAUCAAACAGG
rnacentral:rRNA from 2 species